GGGCAAUCCUCUUUUAGCUCAGUGGUCGAGCGCUGGCUUUGGAAGCCACAGGUCGGUGGUUCGAACCCACCAGGGCGCA
rnacentral:tRNA from 1 species